rnacentral:rRNA from 1 species
CUCAUCACAUCCUGGGGCUGAAGUAGGUCCCAAGGGUAUGGCUGUUCGCCAUUUAAAGUGGUACGCGAGCUGGGUUUAGAACGUCGUGAGACAGUUCGGUCCCUAUCUGCCGUGGGCGCUGGAGAACUGAGGGGGGCUGCUCCUAGUACGAGAGGACCGGAGUGGACGCAUCACUGGUGUUCGGGUUGUCAUGCCAAUGGCACUGCCCGGUAGCUAAAUGCGGAAGAGAUAAGUGCUGAAAGCAUCUAAGCACGAAACUUGCCCCGAGAUGAGUUCUCCCUGACCCUUUAAGGUCCUGAAGGAACGUUGAAGACGACGACGUUGAUAGGCCGGGUGUGUAAGCGCAGCGAUGCGUUGAGCUAACCGGUACUAAUGAACCGUGAGGCUUAACCUU